rnacentral:rRNA from 1 species
GAUGAACGCUGGCGGCGUGCCUAAUACAUGCAAGUCGAGCGAGCGGACGAGAAGCUUGCUUCUCUGAUGUUAGCGGCGGACGGGUGAGUAGCACGUGGAUAACCUACCUAUAAGACUGGGAUAACUUCGGGAAACCGGAGCUAAUACCGGAUAAUAUUUUGAACCGCAUGGUUCAAAAGUGAAAGACGGUCUUGCUGUCACUUAUAGAUGGAUCCGCGCUGCAUUAGCUAGUUGGUAAGGUAACGGCUUACCAAGGCAACGAUGCAUAGCCGACCUGAGAGGGUGAUCGGCCACACUGGAACUGAGACACGGUCCAGACUCCUACGGGAGGCAGCAGUAGGGAAUCUUCCGCAAUGGGCGAAAGCCUGACGGAGCAACGCCGCGUGAGUGAUGAAGGUCUUCGGAUCGUAAAACUCUGUUAUUAGGGAAGAACAUAUGUGUAAGUAACUGUGCACAUCUUGACGGUACCUAAUCAGAAAGCCACGGCUAACUACGUG